CCGCACUAGAGACUCUGCAAAUACCCAUUAGGAUUUAAAAGGUGAACGGAGCUUUAAUGGCAGACAUCACCUGAAGUCUCUGCUAGCCUCAUCUCUUUCAUGCCUGAGAUGCAGGCCACUAAGUUCCUGGAUACGGAACAACUUUCUCACCCUUGGAGCCUUGGAGAUGCUUUAGGACUGUGUGGACUGGACAACAACAGCCCCCUUUCAGCCAUGAUUUUGUUACAAAGCAAAGGAUAUACAACAUUUCAGCUACAAAACAA